GGGGGUAUAGCUCAGUUGGUAGAGCGUCUGCUUUGCACGCAGAAAGUCAGGAGUUCGAAUCUCCUUAUCUCCA
rnacentral:tRNA from 1 species